rnacentral:misc_RNA from 1 species
GAUGAAGAACGUAGCGAAAUGCGAUACGUAAUGUGAAUUGCAGAUUUCAGUGAAUCAUCGAAUCUUUGAACGCACAUUGCGCCCGCCAGUAUUCUGGCGGGCAUGCCUGUUCGAGCGUCAUUUCAACCAUCAAGCCUUCGCUUGUGUUGGGGCCCCGCGGCUGCCGCGGUCCCCUAAAUCCAGUGGCGGGCUCGUCGUCGUACCGAGCGCAGUAGACAUCCUCGCUCCGGGAACCCGACGGGUGCCGGCCGUGAAACCCCCCACAUCAAGGUUGACCUCGGAUCAGGUAGGAAUACCCGCUGAACUUAAGCAUAUCAAAAGCGGAGGA